CUUCACCGACCCCAACAACAACGGACGCUCGGCAUCACGCUCUUGCCCAUACGUCGCCAACAGGGCCUGCGCCUC
rfam:Streptomyces nanshensis strain SCSIO 10429 scaffold61, whole genome shotgun sequence.